rnacentral:tRNA from 1 species
GGGGCGGUAGCUUAGUGGUAGAGCGCAAGAUUGCAAUAUACAUAAACAUUGCGAUUAUCUUGAGGUCGCCGGUUCGAUCCCGGCCCGUCCCU